CCUUCCCCUUGUCAACCAUUGAACCACCCAAACAGAAUGCCCACUCACUGUUUAACCGAAAGCCCCAAAGGCUGCACGAUUUUUGGCAAAAUCACACAAUUACAAAAAGCGCCCAAACCAGCUUCCUUGAUCCUCAAAGAUGUUGGAUUAUUACAUCUUUAUUCACUAAGUUUAGGACUUGGCCAAGAAAUACCUUUUUUUUAAACGGAGACUUGCAAGGA
rnacentral:lncRNA from 1 species